rnacentral:misc_RNA from 1 species
AACCAUAGAAACCUGCGGAGUACCUGCGGAAGGAUCAUUACCGAGUGUGGCCCCAUUUUUAAAACAAAUAGGGGUACCUCCCGUCCUUUGCAGGGCCCUUUGGGGCUUUUUGAACUUUGCUUCGGCGGGUUUUAUCCCGCCGGAACACCCUCAAGAAAAUCUUUUUAAAAAUACUGUCGUCUGAGCAUUUACAAAAUAAAACAAAACUUUUAGCAACGGAUCUCAGAUCGGAAGAGCACA